UUACCCCCGUACCCACUUGAGGCUAGGGGCCUGGCAUCUCUGGGAGGUUUGGGGAGCCAGCCCACCCUUGGAAAGGGCUCACCUUGAGGAAGGGAAGAAAAGGAAAGGUGAAGAAAAGAACAGUGCCUAGGCCCUUUGAGGCCUUGGGUUUUGGCUCCACAAAGACAUGGUCUGGGAAAGCAUUUCCAGCAACUUUCUCACACUUACGGUCCUGAGAGAUGCUGCCUCCUCUUGCUUUGGUAUGCUGCUUGAUGGGAUGGCCACCACAGUGCACCACUGACAGUGCUGGAAUGACACUUACCAACGUCUAAGGGUCAUCUUGCUUCUCUCGGUGUCCCAGAGCAGCCCUGAAGAAGGCAGAGGACCAAGAGGUGCAGUCAUUUAAGCCACAUACUAUUUUUAAGGGAGAGCUUCUGUGUUACAAGUUAUGGAGAGUCUUCCCCCAUUUUGAGACACUUUAGAGUAUCUUAAAAUCUUGAUUUAUAAACAGCCUAAACUUGGAGUAAGACUUGAAUGAUGUUUAGUAAGAUUAUUCCUCGGUAUGGACCUCAGGUUUUUCCUGUAUAAAAUGCAAGCAUAGGCAGUAAAAGAGAGGAAGGACCAAGGUAGUGGUCUUCAGACUUUUUAGAAAGUGAACUUUACUUUUUGUUAAGAUAAAUCUUAUGCAGAAACUCAGUAUUUAAAACUGAUAAAAGCACAGCUGUUUGCAAUACAGUGGGGAAGGGACACUUGUCCUUCUUAGAGGACGUGAAGCAGAUCUAUAAACAAAUUUUGAAAAACACUAGACUCGAUCAGCCUGAAAGAACUGAUUCUAAAGCCUUGAUUCUAGCUCCGGAACCUGUCGAUGUCUCUGUGCAGGAACGGACAGGAGAGAAGGUUAGAGAAGACAGCAAGUUCAGUGAAAGCUGAACUACCUCUCCUAGCUGCCAGUGAAGGGUUGAGGGAAAGGUUAAGCCUUUGCCCUUUAGGAAGAGUGACUCAUGGAAGAUAACAGAUAGUAUUGAGGGAGGAAGUACCGUAAUUAAAAACCAAGAAAAUUGGAAACCACAGGGAUAUUGGCCACUAAGUUCUGUCCUCCCUCAAGCCCACUUCCCAACUUGAUUUCCAAGCCCUGACAACCAGGCAUAAAGCCAUUAGUCAGGAAGUCUGGAAGAAUCUUCUCUGGAGAUUCUGACCAGCCCAAAAAGAAAAAUGUAUUUACGUCAGAGAUUUCUAACAGCCCACUGAAAUCACCCUGCAGUGAAAAUUAGGGAUGACGAAUUCCAUUCAUGUGCUUAGAGCUUCCAAGUAGCUUUUUUAGAAUCCUCCCUAAAGAUGAAGAGAUAAGCAAAGAUUACCAGAGAUCUAAAGAGAGCUUAUCAUGAAAGAUCCACAAAUCAAACAGUUAGAAAAAAGCUACUUAGAA